rnacentral:rRNA from 1 species
AUUGAACGCUGGCGGCAGGCCUAACACAUGCAAGUCGAACGAGUGGCGGACGGGUGAGUAAUGUCUGGGAAACUGCCCGAUGGAGGGGGGUAACUACUGGAAACGGUAGCUAAUACCGCAUACCAUCGGAUGUGCCCAGAUGGGAUUAGCUAGUAGGUGGGGUAACGGCUCACCUAGGCGACGAUCCCUAGCUGGUCUGAGAGGAUGACCAGCCACACUGGACCUGAGAAACGGCCCAGAGUCCUACGGGAGGCAGCGGUGGGGAAUAUUGCAAAAGGGGCGCAAGCCUGAUGCAGCAAUGCCGGGUGAAUGAAGAAGGCCUUCGGGUUGUAAAGUACUUUCAGCGGGGAGGCGUUACCCGCAGAAGAAGCACCGGCUAACUCCGUGCCAGCAGCCGCGGUAAUUC